rnacentral:tRNA from 17 species
UGCAAAUUUCCUUUCAUGUUGUGGCCGAGUGGGUUCCUGGCAUACUGAUUUGUGACAUGAGAUAAAAAUCACAUUGCCAGGGAUUACCACAUAGUCACUGCCUUGACUGCUGUUCUGGAA